rnacentral:SRP_RNA from 1 species
UGGCCCAGAAGGCCGGGGGCCUUGGCUCUCUCCUGUAAUCCCAGCACUUUGGGAGGCCGAGGCAGGAGGAUCACAAGGUCAGGAGAUCAAGACCAUCCUGGCUAACACAGUGAAACCCUGUCUCUACUAAAAAUACAAAAANNNNNNNNNNUUUUUGUAUUUUUAGUAGAGACAGGGUUUCACUGUGUUAGCCAGGAUGGUCUUGAUCUCCUGACCUUGUGAUCCUCCUGCCUCGGCCU